GUUUAAAUAAUUUAAUAAUUAAAAUAUUGAUUUUGUAAAUCAAAUUUAGAUAAUUUAUAUAUCUUUUAAACU
rnacentral:tRNA from 1 species